UGGUUUCCCGUCUAAAUUCUAGUUUACAUACAAAACCUAACGAAUGUAAAGAGGAUGAAGGUGUUUUUUUUGUUGUUGUUUUUUUUUUUUUUAAGAUUAUUUCAUGGAAAUGUAAACUGUAUUUCUUCAGUAGCUACAGGCGAUUGUUAACUGUUGUGUUAAUAUUUGAUCAUCGAGGCUUUUGUUCAUUUAUCUAACUGAAUAAGAGCUUUAUUGUGUCAUCCAUCGUUUUUGUUUAAAAAAAAAGAAAAAAAAGAAGAAAAAAAAAGUUAUUCUGAUAUCAUUUUGGUGCCAAAACAACGAAGAGUCAAUUAAAACUCUGAAUUAUGGCCGUUUAUUGUAGAUAGUUAAAUCAAGCACUUAGAAUAGAAACUGGUCUAAAAGUUGUUUGAAUUGCAUCUCCAUAAUAAUUCAGGUUAAGAUCUCUAUAUAAUAGUGAUAUUUUACUGGUGGUUCCAGUAUUUAACCCUUCUCCAACCUUGUUUGAUAUUAAAAUGAUUAUGGAAAGAUUUUGGUGACUUUCUCACAGUUUGUGCUCCUACCUGCAUGGCCAUUUUAAGGAGUGUUGAGGCUAUUUCCACGCUGUACUGCAGGGAAGCUGGAUGUUUCUGACAGCUCAUCAAUCCAAGAGUUGUUUACAAUCUGCAAUCCUUAAUUUCUGAUGCUCACCAUCUGCUAAAUGUCACUAGCUAGCCUAGAUAAUAAAUACUGCUUUAAUGCCCUUGGUCUGCUAAACCAUCUUCAACAUACACAGGUCAAAGAACCCUUCUUUGUGGAACCAUAUAAAUAUUUCCCUGUCAGAAACAGGCCCCAACCUGUUUAAGACUUUUAGCAAAGAACUGUUGAAGAAUCCAGAGGUUGCAGUGUUCUUUGCAGGGCCUGUGUAGAAUUCAGAGCAAUUUUGUAGACAAUUUUAUUCAGCUCAACGGUUAUGACUACUAAAUAUGGUUACAUUUAUUAUUUAAAACAGUUAUUUCAACUCUUGGCUGUUUCAGGUAUUACUGAAAACAGGCAAAAAUAUGAUGUUAGAUGAUUCCUUUCAAACUGUAGCCCAUCCGAUUAAAA
ensembl:lncRNA